rnacentral:rRNA from 1 species
AUGAACGCUGGCGGCGUGCCUAAUACAUGCAAGUCGAGCGAACAGACGAGGAGCUUGCUCCUCUGACGUUAGCGGCGGACGGGUGAGUAACACGUGGAUAACCUACCUAUAAGACUGGGAUAACUUCGGGAAACCGGAGCUAAUACCGGAUAAUAUAUUGAACCGCAUGGUUCAAUAGUGAAAGACGGUUUUGCUGUCACUUAUAGAUGGAUCCGCGCCGCAUUAGCUAGUUGGUAAGGUAACGGCUUACCAAGGCAACGAUGCGUAGCCGACCUGAGAGGGUGAUCGGCCACACUGGAACUGAGACACGGUCCAGACUCCUACGGGAGGCAGCAGUAGGGAAUCUUCCGCAAUGGGCGAAAGCCUGACGGAGCAACGCCGCGUGAGUGAUGAAGGUCUUCGGAUCGUAAAACUCUGUUAUUAGGGAAGAACAAAUGUGUAAAUAACUAUGCACGUCUUGACGGUACCUAAUCAGAAAGCCACGGCUAACUACGUG